UGCACGCGUGAGAAAACGACCCAGUCCCGCACCUCCCCGCAGCUCGCUCUCCCCCGAUUCCUCCUGCGACGAGCUCGCCGCCCCGCCCUCGAUCUGCCCCCGCCCCCACGCGCCCUGCCUCAAGAUUCGGCAGCCGCGCCACCACCGACCCCCGGAUCAGGCCGCCGCGCCGCCACCGUUCUUGGAUCCGGCCGCCGCGCCGCCUGCCUCUGCUCCUCACCUGUCCGCCUCCACGCCCGCACGAGGGGAUGCCAAGCCCUCGUGCUCCUCCAUCGGCAGCCACAGGGGGGGCCUCCGGCGCACCUUCCCUUCCUCUCUUCCUCUCCUUCCUUCUCCCUCACACCCUCUCUCUCUGUUCUCCUGCAGGUACCCGCCAUGGCCAUCAUGGACAGCAGCCAUGCGGCAGGAGCUCGCCACCAAAGUCCCCCGAGCACCGUACGCCCCGAAUCUGGCCGGGAACCGGACGAGGCCGAGCCCUCGCGCCCAGAUCCGCUGCAGCAAUCUCGAAGUUCGUCGCCGCCACCUCGGGCGGUUCAACUGACGCGCCCCGCUUCUGGCACCACCCGCCGGGACGACCACCGGCCCUCCCUAAUCCUGCUGCAGAUUUGUGCACAUAAAGUUCAAAAAUAUAACGGAGAGAAGGAGCAUGUAUGCGUGUGUGUGGUGGUGAGGUUGAGGUUCAGAAAACGUGUGUGGUGAUGGUGAGGUUCAGAAGAACAUGUGUGUGGUGGAGAAAUUCACUAGCUUUUUUAAUCGGGAGACAAGUAAUAGCUUAUUUUGUGCAAACACAAGACAUAAAAAUGUAUGCGUCUUUUAGUAAGAGAAAUAAACAAAUGAUCAAGUAUCGUCCCAUGAAAGUUCAUGCAUAUGAGAAAAGGAAAUUCGGAAGGUCGGGGUGACGAACAGAGAAGUUCAGGCAUCAGUGUUGAGGAAGGUAAGGACAAAAGAACUCAACCCACUGCGGUGUCUCACAUCAACUAUACAUGCUCAACGGCCUCUCUGUUCAUCAAGAAAAUUCGAGUUUCCUUAUGCCACA